UACGGGAGGCAGCAGUGGGGAAUAUUGCACAAUGGGCGCAAGCCUGAUGCAGCGACGCCGCGUGGAGGAUGAAGGCUUUCGAGUUGUAAACUCCUGUUAAGUGGGAAGAAAGGCCUUGGGUUAAUACCUCAAGGAGAUGACGGUACCACUAAAGAAAGCACCGGCAAACUUCGUGCCAGCAGCCGCGGUAA
rnacentral:rRNA from 1 species